rnacentral:rRNA from 1 species
UACGGAGGAGGCAAGCGUUAUCCGGAAUUAUUGGGCGUAAAGCGUCCGCAGGUGGCACUUCAAGUCUGUCGUCAAAGACUGGGGCUUAACCCUGGAAAGGCGGUGGAAACUGAAGCGCUAGAGUGCGGUAGGGGUAGAGGGAAUUCCCGGUGUAGCGGUGAAAUGCGCAGAUAUCGGGAAGAACACCCGUGGCGAAGGCGGCUCUCUGGGACGGUACUGACGCUGAGACGCGAAAGCGUGGGGAGCGAACAGG